GUAGUUCGGGAUCUAUCUUGUUUUGUCCCUUUGUCGUUUAUAUUCAAACCCUUCUAUCUUUCAUUUUAACUAAAUGGAGUGUCCCUUUUCCCUUUGUGUUUUAAAUAUGUGUUGUUGUUUUUUUACAUAGUGCAUUUUAGGUUAGUUUAAGUGAUAUUACAUGCUUGCAGAAUUUUUAGGUAGAUCUUAAAAUCCAGCUUAAGCAUGAACUUUGAAUCAGAGGGCUAAAGUUAGAAAAAGGCAUCUGAGAAAAUAGGAAGAGUGUUGAGACAUUGGGUGACCAAGUUGAAGCCUUCUUUGAAAAUUAAGGCAAUUAUUUUGAGAAUUACAAGAAUAACUUGAUCAUCAAUUGAAAGACAUGUCUCAAUUAGGUUAAACAAUGAAUGCGUGAUCCUAUAUCAAAAGGAAUAGAAAGAAAAUCAACUCCACAAAAGCAUGAGUCAUUCGAUGUAAAAGAUGUACAAUAAAGGUGGAGUUGUAUAACUGGACAAGCGUAGAAGAAGUAGUGACACACAGACUCAGUUAAAGUUAGUGCUGUAAAAAAAUGUCACAAAUGAUCUUCAUCUUUCACUGUCAUAUUGCAUGAUAUGUACUUGCAUUUUCAAGGAUUGAUAUGGCGAAGACAUUUCAUUUUGCUAUCCAAACAUUGUGUCAUCCUUUGUUUACCCCGUUUGAACUUUAAUUCUAUUUUCUUUCAUACCCCUCUUUUGGAAUCAAUAUAGAGUCAACAAAGUUCAAGAAAAAGUGGUGAGUAAAAGAAUGGAGUCAGAAAAAAAAGAGAAGACAAAUGUGUCAAAAAUAAAGAAAAGUGAUGAGUAUCAAGAAAAAUAGGGUCAGACAAAGUUUUAAAGAGAAAAAAAGCCAAUAAAAGAGAAUAAAUAAAUAAAUUAGAGUCAAGCAAAAGAAUAAAUUAUCGGAACUACGUGUGACCUGAUUAUCCUCUCUCGAAGGUGAGAUACGUAGGCAGCCCUACUUUGGGCUCAGCCCAACUAAACGAACAAUUUAGAAUUACCCAGUUAAAGAAAGUGGGGCAUGGAUUAAUUUUCAUUGUUUGAGUCAAUUCCAAAAGUUGUAAGUCUCUCCCCACUUCAAGUGUCGUUUGGGCCUCAUGCCAUUUUUUUUCUAACCUUAUCCAAAAGUCAAGUUACAACCAAAGAAAGACCUUCAGAUCAAUCGUUGAGAAUGAUAAGGCUAAGCAUGCAAUGCAUAUAAUGAUGCAUUUUGGAAACUACUUGUUUUCCUCAGCAUAAGUAAUCAGAAGAGAAAUAAAAAUGAGAGUCUUAUCGGUGAAAACCCUUACGGGAACCGUAAGACGAUUCUGAGUUGAGAGAAUGAAAAUAUGAGAGUCUCAUUGGUGAAAACCCUCACAGACACUAUAGGACAAUGGAGAGUUGAGAGAAAGAAAAUAAAAUAAACUUAUUGACGAAAACUCUUUAAGGAGUCACUAACUGAAUGAGGUCUCCAAGUGCGAUUGACCCAAGAAAGUAACUCAAUUUCAGGACCAUUAACUCAACAACAAUUGACAAAAUUUUGGAUGGAAAGAUCAGACAACUUAAUCCAAAAUGUAUGUCAUAAUCAUUAGAGUUGACUAUCACUUUCAGAUAAAUUUUCCUUUUCUUUGUUUCAAUGGACAUUCAUUGUCUGUUCUUUCUUCUUUAUAUUUUUAUUUUUGUUUUUUCGAGUUAGUUAUUCAAAUAGAAAGUCAUUUUUCUUGUGUCUUUGAGUCAAACAAAUGUCAAAGCAAGUGAUAAAAGAUUUCAAAACUGGCUACCAACUUCUUUAAUUGCACAAAGUAAGACAAAGGGCCAGCACAUGAAAGAGACAUGAUUGUGAGCCAAAAUAAGGCAUGCAGAAAGUUUUGUCAACAGAUAAGUCUUGAAACUCAUGGAAAUACAAAGUUUUAAAGGAUUUAUCUGAGGAACAUAGCAAAAAAGAGAUAUUGUGUUUGUUUCAGAGUCACUCUUAAUAAUCUGAGUUUUGAUCAAUGGUGCAGCAACUCAAUACAUAUGCUAAUGAUUGGAAGCAAGAUUAGAAGUGACAAAUGCAAGAGAAUUCACCUCAAAAGCUAAACCACAAGCUAACCACCAUGUUUUUAAACUCACAAGUUUUCUUUGUAUGAAACAGGAACACAUGUUACCUUCAAAUAAGGAUUUCAAAGCUUAAACAUCAAAGGCCAUAAUUUCUUACUUCUACAAAUGCAAGAGGCAACGUUGCUUUACCGAUUUGGUAAUCAAAACCAUGGAACCCUCUUGGAGAACAGGGUGAUGACAUUGAAAUUCAAGAGCCCGCCCGAAGAAUGGGGUGUUGAAAUUGCAAGUUAGGAGCUCGCCUGAAGAAUAGGAUAAAGAAAUUAAAAGUCAAGCAACAAGGUGAAGAAAUUAAAAGUCAACAGAUUAAAAAAAUAGCAAUUCAGGGGCCCGCCUGGAGAACAGAAUGAAGAAAUUAAAAGUUAAGCAACAAAGCGAAGAAAUUGUACCACCGACAAAACAUGGUCAAUUUUUGAGUUCAUCUCCAACACCAGAUUUUGUAUGGAGAAAGAAUUAUUCUCAAAUUUAAUCCAAUGAAAAUCAAAUCAUUCAUCACUUUUGAAAGCAUUGAAGACUCAAGUCAAGAGUCAAGAGAAGCUGCAUAGAUAGGAUUUUUGUAAUGUCAGUUAUAUUUUUAACUUGUAAUUUCAUUUUUGAUAUAAUGACAGAGCCGCGGAUCAGAACCUCGAUAGGCCUCACUCGACUUUCCAACUCA